rnacentral:rRNA from 1 species
CCUACGGGGGGCAGCAGUGAGGAAUAUUGGUCAAUGGACGCAAGUCUGAACCAGCCAUGCCGCGUGCAGGAUGACGGCUCUAUGAGUUGUAAACUGCUUUUGUACGAGGGUAAACCCCGAUACGUGUAUCGGGUUGAAAGUAUCGUACGAAUAAGGAUCGGCUAACUCCGUGCCAGCAGCCGCGGUAAUACGGAGGAUCCGAGCGUUAUCCGGAUUUAUUGGGUUUAAAGGGUGCGUAGGCGGACUGUUAAGUCAGCGGUAAAAGCCCGGGGCUCAACCCCGGCGAGCCGUUGAAACUGGCUGUC